GACGAACGCUGGCGGCGUGCCUAAUACAUGCAAGUAGAACGCUGAAGCGAGGAGCUUGCUCUUCUUGGAUGAGUUGCGAACGGGUGAGUAACGCGUAGGUAACCUGCCUUGUAGCGGGGGAUAACUAUUGGAAACGAUAGCUAAUACCGCAUAACAAUGGAUGACACAUGUCAUUUAUUUGAAAGGGGCAAUUGCUCCACUACAAGAUGGACCUGCGUUGUAUUAGCUAGUAGGUGAGGUAAUGGCUCACCUAGGCGACGAUACAUAGCCGACCUGAGAGGGUGGUCGGCCAAACUGGGACUGAGACACGGCUCAGACUCCUACGGGAGGCAGCAGUAGGGAAUCUUCGGCAAUGGGGGCAACCCUGACCGAGCAACGCCGCGUGAGGGAAGAAGGUUUUCGGAUCGUAAAGCUCUGUUGUAAGUCAAGAACGGGUGUGAGAGUGGAAAGUUCACACUGUGACGGUAGCUAACCAGAAAGGGACGGCUAACUACGUG
rnacentral:rRNA from 1 species